rnacentral:rRNA from 1 species
UACGAAGGGGGCGAGCGUUGUUCGGAUUUACUGGGCGUAAAGGGCGCGCAGGCGGCUCAUUUUGUCAGGCGUGAAAGCCCCGGGCUUAACCUGGGAACUGCGUUUGAUACGGAUGGGCUAGAGUUCGGGAGAGGAGCGUGGAAUUCUCAGUGUAGAGGUGAAAUUCGUAGAUAUUGGGAAGAACACCGGUGGCGAAGGCGGCGCUCUGGACCGAGACUGACGCUGAGGCGCGAAAGCGUGGGGAGCAAACAGG